UUGCAUGUUGGGAACUCAUGUUCUGCUCCUCAUUCUGUUGGGAGUAAGACUACAUGUAUCUGCAGCAUGCUAUAUCAAAUAGAGCAGUUUUCAGGGCUGCUGGCCAUACAGUAAAGGUUAAGUUGUAGUCUAUUCUACAUAA